GACGAACGUUUGCGGCGUGCCUAAUACAUGCAAGUAGAACGCUGAAGAGAGGAGCUUGCUCUUCUUGGAUGAGUUGCGAACGGGUGAGUAACGCGUAGGUAACCUGCCUUGUAGCGGGGGAUAACUAUUGGAAACGAUAGCUAAUACCGCAUAACAAUGGAUGACACAUGUCAUUUAUUUGAAAGGGGCAAUUGCUCCACUACAAGAUGGACCUGCGUUGUAUUAGCUAGUAGGUGAGGUAACGGCUCACCUAGGCGACGAUACAUAGCCGACCUGAGAGGGUGAUCGGCCACACUGGGACUGAGACACGGCCCAGACUCCUACGGGAGGCAGCAGUAGGGAAUCUUCGGCAAUGGGGGCAACCCUGACCGAGCAACGCCGCGUGAGUGAAGAAGGUUUUCGGAUCGUAAAGCUCUGUUGUAAGUCAAGAACGAGUGUGAGAGUGGAAAGUUCACACUGUGACGGUAGCUUACCAGAAAGGGACGGCUAACUACGUGCCAGCAGCCGCGGUAAUACGUAGGUCCCGAGCGUUGUCCGGAUUUAUUGGGCGUAAAGCGAGCGCAGGCGGUUUGAUAAGUCUGAAGUUAAAGGCUGUGGCUCAACCAUAGUUCGCUUUGGAAACUGUCAAACUUGAGUGCAGAAGGGGAGAGUGGAAUUCCAUGUGUAGCGGUGAAAUGCGUAGAUAUAUGGAGGAACACCGGUGGCGAAAGCGGCUCUCUGGUCUGUAACUGACGCUGAGGCUCGAAAGCGUGGGGAGCGAACAGGAUUAGAUACCCUGGUAGUCCACGCCGUAAACGAUGAGUGCUAGGUGUUGGAUCCUUUCCGGGAUUCAGUGCCGCAGCUAACGCAUUAAGCACUCCGCCUGGGGAGUACGACCGCAAGGUUGAAACUCAAAGGAAUUGACGGGGGCCCGCACAAGCGGUGGAGCAUGUGGUUUAAUUCGAAGCAACGCGAAGAACCUUACCAGGUCUUGACAUCCCGAUGCUAUUUCUAGAGAUAGAAAGUUACUUCGGUACAUCGGUGACAGGUGGUGCAUGGUUGUCGUCAGCUCGUGUCGUGAGAUGUUGGGUUAAGUCCCGCAACGAGCGCAACCCCUAUUGUUAGUUGCCAUCAUUCAGUUGGGCACUCUAGCGAGACUGCCGGUAAUAAACCGGAGGAAGGUGGGGAUGACGUCAAAUCAUCAUGCCCCUUAUGACCUGGGCUACACACGUGCUACAAUGGUUGGUACAACGAGUUGCGAGUCGGUGACGGCAAGCUAAUCUCUUAAAGCCAAUCUCAGUUCGGAUUGUAGGCUGCAACUCGCCUACAUGAAGUCGGAAUCGCUAGUAAUCGCGGAUCAGCACGCCGCGGUGAAUACGUUCCCGGGCCU
rnacentral:rRNA from 1 species